rnacentral:rRNA from 1 species
AACGAACGCUGGCGGCAUGCCUAAUACAUGCAAGUCGAACGAACACUUCGGUGUUAGUGGCGCACGGGUGCGUAACGCGUGGGAAUCUACCCUUGGGUUCGGAAUAACAGUUAGAAAUGACUGCUAAUACCGGAUGAUGACGUAAGUCCAAAGAUUUAUCGCCCAAGGAUGAGCCCGCGUAAGAUUAGCUAGUUGGUAGGGUAAAGGCCUACCAAGGCUACGAUCUUUAGCUGGUCUGAGAGGAUGAUCAGCCACACUGGGACUGAGACACGGCCCAGACUCCUACGGGAGGCAGCAGUAGGAAUAUUGGACAAUGGGCGCAAGCCUGAUCCAGCCAUCCCGCGUGAAGGAUUAAGGCCCUCUGGGUUGUAAACUUCUUUCUCUGGGAAUAAAAAGUGGGAUUUAUCCUGCCUUGAAGGUACCAGAGGAAUAAGCACGGCUAACUCCGUGCCAGCAGCCGCGAUAAU